rnacentral:rRNA from 1 species
CACGUGGGUAACCUGCCUUACAGAGGGGGAUAACAGUUUUGAAAAGACUGCUAAUACCGCAUAAGCACACAGUACCGCAUGGUACGGGGUGAAAAGAUUUAUCGCUGUAAGAUGGACCCGCGUCUGAUUAGCUAGUUGGCAGGGUAACGGCCUACCAAGGCGACGAUCAGUAGCCGACCUGAGAGGGUGAUCGGCCACAUUGGGACUGAGACACGGCCCAAA